rnacentral:rRNA from 1 species
UACGAACCGUACAAACGUUAUUCGGAAUCACUGGGCUUAAAGGGUGCGUAGGCGGCCAUGUAAGUGAGGUGUGAAAUCCCUCGGCUCAACCGAGGAACUGCGCUUCAUACUGCAUGGCUUGAGGGAGACAGGGGUAAGCGGAACUGAUGGUGGAGCGGUGAAAUGCGUUGAUAUCAUCAGGAACACCGGUGGCGAAAGCGGCUUACUGGGUCUCUUCUGACGCUGAGGUACGAAAGCUAGGGAGCGAACGGGU